rnacentral:rRNA from 1 species
GACGAGCGCUGGCGGCGUGCCUAACACAUGCAAGUCGAGCGAACAGACGAGGUGCUUGCUCCCCUGACGUUAGCAGCGGACGGGUGAGGCACACGUGGACAACCUAACUCUAAGACUUGGAUACCUUCGGCAAACCGGAGCUAAUACCGGAUAAUCUAUCGACCUGCAUGGGUCAAGAGUGAAAGACGGUUUUGGUGUGGCUUAUCGACUGAUCAGCGCCGCAUUAGGUGGUUGGUGAGGUAACGGCUUACCAAGGCAGCGAUGGGUAGCCGACCUGAGGGCGUGGACGGCCACCCUGGAAGUGAGCCACGUCCCAGACACUGAGAGUAGGCCGCGGUACGGACUCUUCCGCGAUGGGGGAAAGCCUGACGGAGGAACGCCGGCUGAGUGAUGAAGGUCUUCGGACCGGAGAACUCUGUUAGUAUGGGAGAUCUAAUGCGUUAGUAACUAAGCUCGUCUUGACGGUACCGGGUCAAAAAGCCCCGGCUAACUACGUG